rnacentral:rRNA from 1 species
ACUCAAAUGAAUUGACGGGGGCCCGCACAAGCGGUGGAGUAUGUGGUUUAAUUCGAAGCAACGCGAAGAACCUUACCAGGCCUUGACAUCCCUUGCAGAGGUAUAGAGAUAUAUCCGAGGUUAUCAAGGAGACAGGUGGUGCAUGGUUGUCGUCAGCUCGUGUCGUGAGAUGUUGGGUUAAGUCCCGCAACGAGCGCAACCCUUGUGAUAUGUUACUAACAUUGAGUUGAGGACUCAUAUCAGACUGCCGGUGAUAAACCGGAGGAAGGUGGGGAUGACGUCAAAUCAUCAUGCCCCUUAUGGCCUGGGCUACACACGUACUACAAUGGCGUCUACAAAGAGCGGCAAGCCUGUGAAGGCAAGCGAAUCUCAUAAAGGACGUCUCAGUUCGGAUUGAAGUCUGCAACCCGACUUCAUGAAGCUGGAAUCGCUAGUAAUCGCGAAUCAGCAUGUCGCGGUGAAUACGUUCUCGGGCCUUGUACACACCGCCCGU